rnacentral:sRNA from 1 species
CUGGAUAUUUUUUAAACAACUCAGUUAAAAGUUGCUCGAAAAAGAAUCAACGCCUACAAUUUUUUUUGCUUCUUGCGUCACGUCAGUUUUACUUACUACAAGUAAUGGGUAGUAUGUACGCCGGCUAUUUCCUCAAUCGGAGGAGA